rnacentral:rRNA from 1 species
AAAUGGCAGUUGAUACUGUCAGUCUUGAGUACAGUAGAGGUGGCGGGAAUUCGUGGUGUAGCGGUGAAAUGCUUAGAUAUCACGAAGAACUCCGAUGCGAAAGGCAGCUCACUGGACUGCAACUGACACUGAUGCUCGAAAGUGUGGGUAUCAAACAGGAUUAGAUACCCUGGUAGUCACACAGUAAACGAUGAAUACUCGCUGUNUGCGAUAUACAGUAAGCGGCCAAGCGAAAGCAUUAAGUAUUCCACCUGGGGAGUACGCCGGCAACGGUGAAACUCAAAGGAAUUGACGGGGGCCCGCACAAGCGGAGGAACGUGUGGUUUAAUUCGAUGAUACGCGAGGAACCUUACCCGGGCUUAAAUUGCAGUGGAAUGAUGUGGAAACAUGUCAGUGAGCAAUCACCGCUGUGAAGGUGCUGCAUGGUUGUCGUCAGCUCGUGCCGUGAGGUGUCGGCUUAAGUGCCAUAACGAGCGCAACCCUUAUCUUCAGUUACUAACAGGUCAUGCUGAGGACUCUGGAGAGACUGCCGUCGUAAGAUGUGAGGAAGGUGGGGAUGACGUCAAAUCAGCACGGCCCUUACGUCCGGGGCUACACACGUGUUACAAUGGGGGGUACAGAAGGCAGCUAGCGGGUGACCGUAUGCUAAUCCCAAAAUCCUCUCUCAGUUCGGAUCGAAGUCUGCAACCCGACUUCGUGAAGCUGGAUUCGCUAGUAAUCGCGCAUCAGCCACGGCGCGGUGAAUACGUUCCCGGGCCUUGUACACACCGCCCGUCAAGCCAUGGGAGCCGGGGGUACCUGAAGUACGUAACCGCAAGGAUCGUCCUAGGGUAAAACUGGUGACUGGGGCUAAGUCGUAACAAAGGUAGCCGUAAAGCC